rnacentral:rRNA from 1 species
GGAUGCGAUCAUACAAGCACUAAAGCAUCGGAUCCCAUCAGAACUCCGAAGUUAAGCGUGCUUGGGCGAGAGUAGUACUAGGAUGGGUGACCUCCUGGGAAGUCCUUGUGUUGCAUUCC